GACGAACGCUGGCGGCGUGCUUAACACAUGCAAGUCGAACGGUGAAGCGAGUGCUUGCACUCGUGGAUCAGUGGCGAACGGGUGAGUAACACGUGAGUAACCUGCCCAUCACUCUGGGAUAAGCACUGGAAACGGUGUCUAAUACUGGAUACGACCAACCCUUGCAUGGGGUGUUGGUGGAAAGAUUUAUCGGUGAUGGAUGGACUCGCGGCCUAUCAGCUUGUUGGCGGGGUAAUGGCCGACCAAGGCGACGACGGGUAGCCGGCCUGAGAGGGUGACCGGCCACACUGGGACUGAGAGACGGCCCAGACUCCUACGGGAGGCAGCAGUGGGGAAUAUUGCACAAUGGGCGAAAGCCUGAUGCAGCGACGCCGCGUGAGGGAUGACGGCCUUCGGGUUGUAAACCUCUUUCAGCAGGGAAGAAGCGAAAGUGACGGUACCUGCAGAAGAAGCACCGGCUAACUACGUG
rnacentral:rRNA from 1 species